ACCUGACUGCUAUCGGAUUGAUACUAAGCCAUGCGAGUCAUUGUAGCAAUACAAGGCAGACGGCUCAGUAACACGUAGUCAAUCUAACCUAUGGACGGGGAUAACCUCGGGAAACUGAGAAUAAUAUCCGAUAGGCCACUAUGCCUGGAAUGGUUUGUGGCCCAAAUGAUUUAUCGCCGUAGGAUGGGACUGCGGUCUAUCAGCUUGUUGGUGAGGUAAUGGCCCACCAAGGCUAUAACAGAUACGGGCUCUGAGAGGAGAGGCCCGGAGAUGGGUACUGAGACACGGACCCAGGCCCUAUGGGGCGCAGCAGGCGAGAAAACUUUGCAAUGUGCGAAAGCACGACAAGGUUAAUCCGAGUGUUUUCUGCUAAAGAAAUCUUUUACCGGUCUUAAAACCACCGGCGAAUAAGGGGUGGACAAGUUCUGGUGUCAGCCGCCGCGGUAAAACCAGCACCUCAAGUGGUCAGGAGGAUUAUUGGGCCUAAAGCAUCCGUAGCCUGCCGUGUAAGUUUUCGGUUAAAUCUAUGCGCUCAACGCAUAGGCUGCCGGAAAUACUGCACGGCUAGGGAGUGGGAGAGGUAGACGGUACUCGGUAGGAAGGGGUAAAAUCCUCUGAUCUAUCGAUGACCCCCUGUGGCGAAGGCGGUCUACUAGAACACGUCCGACGGUGAGGGAUGAAAGCUGGGGGAGCAAACCGGAUUAGAUACCCGGGUAGUCCCAGCUGUAAACAAUGCAAACUCAGUGAUGCAUUGGCGUAAGAGCCAGUGCAGUGCCGCAGGGAAGCCGUUAAGUUUGCCGCCUGGGAAGUACGUACGCAAGUAUGAAACUUAAAGGAAUUGGCGGGGGAGCACCACAAGGGGUGAAGCCUGCGGUUC
rnacentral:rRNA from 2 species